rnacentral:rRNA from 1 species
CCAGCCGCCGCGGUAAUACGGAGGGAGCUAGCGUUGUUCGGAAUUACUGGGCGUAAARCGCACGUAGGCGGCCAUUCAAGUCAGAGGUGAAARCCCGGGGCUCAACCCCGGAACUGCCUUUGAAAMUARAUGGCUUGAAUCUUGGAGAGGCGAGUGGAAUUCCGAGUGUAGAGGUGAAAUUCGUAGAUAUUCGGAAGAACAMCARUGGCGAAGGCGACUCGCUGGACAAGUAUUGACGCUGAGGUGCGAAARCGUGGGGAGCAAACARGAUUAGAUACCCUGGUAGUCCACGCCGUAAACGAUGAUUAMUARCUGUCCGGGUUCAUGGAACUUGGGU